UGGCCCUGAGAUCGAAUGAGCACCCUGAAAAGUUUUGUCCAGCUUAUUUCUUAUCAGAGUCUGCGCUCCAUGGUGACGUCAUCAAAUUUCGAUCGGAUGGAUAGAUUAAAAUUAUACGGGAAACAAGUAGAGUUGUCAAAUUUCAACAUGACUCAACUCUUCGUUUAUUUAAUUUCUUCAUUCUAAUUGAUUGUAAUUGGAAGCGUGGUAUUAUUUCAAACUUUAUUUGUGCCGGGUAAAUGCACUGCACUAUUGCACUAAAUACAACAAGGUCCAAUUUCUGAUUUCUUUGUUCACGCUUCCAUUUACCGAUAUAUAAUUUUCAAAUAAAUUCACGAUGAAGGUAAAAUUUAUGAGCACAGUGUUUAGUGCAGUUGCCAUUUUGGGCAUGUAUUGUUCACCAGCCGAGUCCAUCCAUUUCAACACAGAAGACCUAUCAGAGGACAAACUAAGAAAUCUUGGAGAAGAGGAAAUACUAAAGGAAGCAAGUGAAAUACGAGCAAACGCGAAGACUUAUUUAGACGCCCUGAGCAUUUUCGACUUGACUAGCAACCGGUCUUUCGGAAAUAGCUGCGCGCGCCUUGCAAAAUCUAUCAAACCCAUAAUCUCGACUGUGAAAGAUUUUGAGCGGGAAUACAGCGCACCGCUCUAUGUGUACCCAAGCUGGAAACCAGAAAUAUUCCCAGAGGUAUAUUUUCGAUUUUUUCCGUUCGGGAGUAGCCCCAAUGAUGAGACUGAUAUUGACGUGGUCAUCCGAAGGAAGGAUGGAACUCUUUUCGCAUUCAAAAGCUAUCUGUCGUUUGGUCAUGAGACUGCUGCCGGAAUUUUGUAUCGGAUCGGAACCAAGAACGUGUCGGGGUGGUUCCUUCGAGGACUCAAAAAGCCAAUCACGCACACGGUGGUUGCAGGGAUCGAGUUUCUUCAAGACGCUAUCCGAUUUUCGUUCCUGAGGGAAAGACAGGAUCAAACGCAGCCUCUGGUUGUUGAAGUCGUAAGAACGAGCUGAUAUGGGAUUUUAGUCCAAGUUCCAGCGAAUCCGGUUUACUUAGCGUGGACCUGAUUUUACUUCGAAAUCAUCGGGUCAGUUGCGUUCUUUUUGCGUAAAUGUUACCUUGAGGUUACGUGUCGGUCUCUUGGUGAAUUCUUUAAUUCUAAAUUGAUGGUUUGAGUAGGCAAUGGAUCAGCUGCGCUGGACACAUAAUCGUGUUAUGAUGCUUAAUUCUUAUAAAUUAGCUCAAAAUAAUAAUAUCUGUCAAAGCAGCAACGUUAUACGUUCAAUAUUAACAGAGAUAUCGCCUUUUGAAGAGUCGGGUUUUUGACGUCAUCCACCGCGGUAGUGACACCCUUGGUUCCUUCAAACUUCUUUUCAUCAGUCAGGGAGACACACAUUUACACUGGUUGUUCAACGUGACACUCGGAUGAAUGCGAGGUUGAAGAGGCCAAGGAUGUCACUACCGCGGUGGAUGACGUCAUAAACCGAAUUUUCAAAGCACGACGUCUCCGUCAAUAUGAAACGCAGAAAGUUGCUGAUAGGGCAGAUCUUAUUAUUUUUAACUUAUCUACAAGAAUCAAGCAACAAAACACGAUUCUGUGACUAGCGCAACUGACCCAUUGCUGGAAAAACAUACCUGCAGCUCGAUUAUGUCGGCCUGACAUGACAAGACAUAUCCCUAUCUUAAUCUCGUAGUAUAUCGCAAUGCGAUGUCUUAUCGGGCCGCUUUAAACUUUUAAUAAUCGGCUCGCUGGAGUGAAGAAAUUUUCAAUAUCACGGGUAGUGUUAGAAAUGCCAGUGGUUUCAGCAGGAAAUCCUCACUUUUGUCAAUUAUUAAAUAUUAAUUGGACGUAUUUCUACCAAACAGACCUAUGUGGAGGUGAGAAAUAUGGGGUGUGCUGUAGAAAGCUGCAUAAGAAGCAGUGUAAAAGUGGGCGUGAUUCCUUUUGAAGAAUUGGAAGAGCGGGAUAUUAGAUUCUAUCAACCAGACCUAUGUGUCAACUGAAUGCGGAAUUCAUGAGCCGCGGGCAUGGGAAGAGAGCGUUGUGGACAGGGCUCAUGAGUUAAAGACGAGCGAGAGCGACGACGAGGACGGCUUCGUUGCCGCUGACGUCACUGGCGCUUUCUUAUUCUCAUUCACUCUUACGCAAAGAGAACUAACGAGCACACCCCAUAUUUCUCACCUCCACAUAGGUCUGUUUGAUAGAAAUGCGUCCAAUUGUAACUUCCAAUGCAGAGACCAGUUUGAGGCUUUUUUUAUGUUGAACUUUUGAAGCAGGUCGCAAAUUAAUCGGAGCUAUAUCUGCGGUUAGGAUCGCUCGAACGAGCUGCAAGCGUGCUCUCGACGCUUGAUUAAGAAACGUGAAAAAAAAUCCUAAUAGGAGUGAGCUUGCGAACUUCGCCUUCUCCGCUCUCAUUUUCCGCUUGUUUUUUUCUCCCGAACUGACCACCAUUAGAAGAUUAAAAUCGAUACAGCUGCUCAACGCUCGCAAGGAGAACGGGGACACGUCCAGGUUUUAAAAAAGGUCGAGCGAGAUCGGCAGAACCUGGGAUAACUAAUAUCGAACGUAGCUACUUGCAAUCAUAUCUCUUUAUUAGUUGAAAAGUCGUUUUAUUGACGAUUGAUAUAAGGUACAGAAACAGACACAAUAAAUGAAAACUAAGUGUAUUUUUUUUUGUCGCACUAGGUGAUUUUAAAAUUUCCUAGGAAGCACCUAGAUCCGUUGAAAUGUUUUGCCUCACAACAAAACUGCACAAGAAAAAUUUGUAAGAGCGUGUGUAUGAAAACAAACAAAAUGCCUAGGACGUUUUGGGGUGGUUUCAACCUCCUUUUGACCAGGAAAUUGAAAUAAAAGGUGUGUUUUUUGCUACCAAAAAUGGGAGCUAAGGGUUUUUGUUUUGUUGUAUUUUUGUUUUUGUUUCCCUCUCAAAAAGGUGGUUGAAACUACCCCGAAACGUUUCAGGUAUUUUUUUCCUAGCCUUGAUUUCUUUUUUUAUUGUGGUUGUUUUCGUUAAAUUAUUCGGGCCAUCUUUGUAUACUUUUCUUUAGCAUCAAAUGUUCGCUGAAAGUGUAAAAUGAAUGGAAACAUACAGAAUUAUGAUUAUUUCACCACGAGUAAAAUUAUUUUCAGUCGCUAGGCCCGAAUCUUGAAUUCCCUUUUUUUUCAUACUUUUGUACAUGAGAUCUGGUCUCAAGAGAGUUAUUAUAUGAUGUAAUGUAUUAGAAUGAAUCCAUAUGACUGCUUGAUUGCCUCAUACGAAGGAUUACCAAAUUCACUGAAACCGCCUCUGUUUCGUUGAAUAUACAAUUUGAAUUCAUGGGAGUAGGAAUAGUUGCUCAUGAUCAAAGCGUACUUCCGGCAAAAACCACUUAGGCCAGCUUAGACAGACAUUUCGGUAACGAUUUACCGCGGUCUCUCAUAGUUUCUUCGUUUUAUUGCGUAUGCAAUUUGAUCUUCAGGAGGUUUAAAAAUUGCUCACGGUCAAUUAUAAUCUCGACACUAGGCCCCUUGAAUGAUACACGACAUCUCGGCAAACGAGCCGCUGCGGUCAAUCGAAGCUCCUUCAUUUCGUCGGAUAUGCAAUUUGAUCUCCGGGGAGUUCCAAUAUUUCUUCUAUUUGUAAUCAAAUGGUACAAUCAAAUUGUUCUCUCGGCACACUCCUUAAACGACAUCCCUGCAACUUGCAGGUUGCAAGUUGGUAACGGCCAAAUCAUAGCCCUGCCAACGGCCUGCUCAUAGCAUGAAUUUAUCACCGACUACUAACUGCGGUCACUCAAAUUCCCUCAUUUCGUUUUACAUGCAGUUUAUUUUCCGAGGCGUCAAAACACUUGCUCGAAGACAAGCUGAACGACAGUAUUCUCAGUUAAACGUAUUUAUGCUAAAAGGAACUAUGUGCAUAGAGUUUGCGUGUAACAUAGUUCCUUUUAGCAUAAAUGAAGCUAAGAGGAACUAUAAGCAUAGGGUUUUAACUGUAACAUAGUUCCUUUUAGCAUAAACAAGUUCAAUUUAAUCACUACGCAACAUGAAAUUGGACGUAUUUAUGCUAAAAGGAACUAUGUGCAUAGAGUUUGCGUGUAACAUAGUUCCUUGUAGCAUAAAUAUGUCCAAUUGAAGAUCACAGUUGCUACUUUAUCUUGAGUUACUGUGCAGUUGCAGCUGUAAUUGCAACUUUAUGAAAACUUGAAAGAACUGAGUAAUAAUGAUGACGUAUGUAGAGCGAUUUAUCAAAAAAACAUGUAAACGUGCUUAUCUGUUCAAGAGUAAUUCCUUUUAAAUAAAUUCUCGGUGCCAAUGGAAUUCUACAUAAAAUUAUAAUAGCUGUAUUGAAUCUAAUUUUUGAAAUUAUUAAGUUUCUUCUAAUUCUAGAAAUCUUGUUUCCUGUUGCUUGUAACUUCUAAACAAUGACAAUAAAACUUGUGUGCAACCGAUGGGAAACCCUAAAUAUGGAUUUUUGAAUCCGAGCGUUGUCGGAUACCGAUUUUUUUAUUAUUUCUCC
rnacentral:lncRNA from 1 species